rnacentral:rRNA from 1 species
UCCGUAGGUGAACCUGCGGAAGGAUCAUUAAUGUAACCGGACCGGUCCUCUGCCGUAAAACGCAGCGGAUCGGAAAGGGAGAUAUCAUACACCCUAUGUUUAUUUACCUUUGUUGCUUUGGCGGGCCGUCCUUUUAGGCGUCGGCCCCGGCUGAUCGCGCCCGCCAGAGACCCAAACUCUUCUAUUAGUGAUGUCUGAGUACUAUAUAAUAGUUAAAACUUUCAACAACGGAUCUCUUGGUUCUGGCAUCGAUGAAGAACGCAGCGAAAUGCGAUAAGUAAUGUGAAUUGCAGAAUUCAGUGAAUCAUCGAAUCUUUGAACGCACAUUGCGCCCGCUGGUAUUCCGGCGGGCAUGCCUGUUCGAGCGUCAUUAUGACCAAUCAAGCUCUGCUUGGCCUUGGGGCCCGCUGUACCGGCGGCUCUUAAAAUCAGUGGCGGUGCCGGCUGGCUCUAAGCGUAGUAAUACUUCUCGCUAUAGGGUCCAGUCGUCUACCCGCCAGAACCCCCAACUUUCUUAGGUUGACCUCGGAUCAGGUAGGGAUACCCGCUGAACUUAAGCAUAUCAAUAAGCGGAGGAAAAGAAACCAACC